rnacentral:rRNA from 1 species
UGGGGGAAUUUUUACGCAAUGGGGGGAAACCCCUGACGUAGCGACACCGCGUGAGCGAAGAAGCCCCUUGGGGGUGUAAAGCUCUGUCAGCUGGAAACGAAACAAAUGACGGUACCAGCAGAGGAAGCAUCGGCUAACUACGUGCCAGCAGCCGCGGUAAGACGUAGGAUGCGAGCGUUGUCCGGAUUUAUUGGGCGUAAAGAGUUCGUAGGUGGUUUGUUAAGUUUGAUGUUAAAGAUCGGGGCUCAACCUCGGGACAGCAUUGAAUACUGGCAGACUUGAGUAUGGUAGAGGCUAGUGGAAUUCCCAGUGUAGCGGUGAAAUGCGUAGAUAUUGGGAAGAACACCGGUGGCGUAGGCGACUAGCUGGGCCAUAACUGACGCUGAGGAACGAAAGCCAGGGGG